rnacentral:ncRNA from 1 species
GUGCAUUAGAAAAGGAGAGACGUUUGGCAGCCCCCUGCGCAAGGUCGGACUCAUUCUCUCCCUAAUGAGGCGUGUAAAGUCCACAAAGUGGCGCGUUUUUUU